UAGCACCUGUGAAUAUGUUACCUUAUAGGGCAACAUGGUAGAAGGGACUUUGUGAUGUUAUUAAGGUUAAGUCCCCUGAGACGAGGAGGUUAUCUUGCAUUAUCCAGUUGGGCCCAAUCUAACCACAUGAAUCCUUAACUUUCUGGCUGUGGUCAGAGGUAGAUAUGACAAUGAAGGAAGAGCUUUGAAGAUGAAAUAAAAGGGCCAUGAGCCAAGGAAUGUAGAUGGUUCUUAGUGGAAAAAGCAAGGAAAUGAAUCCUCCAAAAGGGAUACUGCCUUGCUAAUGCCUUGAUUUUAGCCCAGUGAAAUCUGUUUUUGACUUCUAACCUAUAGAAAUGUAAGAUAAAACAUGUGUGUUAUUCUCAAACAACUAAGUUUGUGGUGACUAUUUGCAGUAGCAGUGGAAAACUAAUACAAACAGGUAGUAGAACAGCCUAUCCUGAGGAAAUUAAGACAAAAUAUUUUCAGACCUAAAAUUGAUCACUGUAUCCACAUACUAUAACACCACACAGAUAUGUCAUUGAUAACAUAAGAAAUUGGGCUCAAUAAGAUAUAUUCUCUAGACUGCCAGAUCACAAAAGUAUGGAAGAUGUUUUUAGCAAUGAAGUAUAAAAUUGACACAACAUAGAAAGGAAUAGCCAUCUUAAAUUCUUCAGUGAUUAUGAGAUUAUUUUAACUUUUUAGGCAAUGUCAUCAUAUUCUUAACAUGAAAUUUUAAUAAAUAUCCAUCAUGAAUGAGGACCUGGAGCUUAUAAAUUAUACUGAUUACAUUUCCACUGGGUUAGAUAAGCCAUGGAUAGUUGACAGUAGAUAUCAACAGCUUCUAGACCAGUUGCAGUAGAAUAAUCACUGGCAUACUCUGCAGAAGAAAUGUUAUAAAGACUCAACUAAUAGAGACCCUGAAACAGUGCAGGAAAGCAAGAGCAGCAGUUAAGCCAACCUCAUAUAUUACAAUCAGAAGAAACAGAGUCAAGAUAAUGAUAGGUUCCCAGGAGGAUGGCAACAGACCCCCACCCCCCGAAUGUGACUGUUGACCAUGGAGACUGGCUGCGGACAUGGGUACGGCCCAACGCAAGAUCUAUACCCUUUCCAGGAAUGUGGAGCAUCGAUUAACAACCUACAGGGAUUAACUGCCCUCUGUCACGGGACUCAACCACCUAUCCCUCCCUUGACCUUCCCCCCCUUCUUCAUGUUCCUGCCACCUUUCUGCCAUGAACUCCAGCCACAGAUUCCCGCCGAAGAUCCUUUAUAAGCUUAUCACUGCCUCACGGUCAGGGGUGGCAUCAUCUUGAGCUCAGCCCCUUGCCCCUCUGAUGCCUUGAUAAAUCUCUUUUGCUUUACCAACUAGGCCUUGCAUGUUCUUUCCUCUCUUGGCAAACCUAGCAAAUAACUUAUGAGGAGUAGAGCUGUAAAUACGUAUGAGCUGGAUAAUGCAUAUAACUGGUAGCCAAAAUAGAUUACAAAUCAGUACACAUGGCCAAAACUUCAUUUCCUUCCUUCCUUUUAUCCUCCUUCUAGAAACCCCCCUCCUCAUCUUUCCUCCCUUCCUCAUUACCUGUCUUCCUUCCUAUCUCCCAGGGUAUUUGCCACAGGUCUACGUAGACAGUGGUUCCUUGGUAAGUACUUACUGAAUGGAAUAACUUUGUGGGCAAAUUAAAGCUAAGAACAAAACCCACCUACACUGACUACUUUCAGUGGCUAAUGGAAAACAGAAGUAGAUCAAGGUAAGGAGGAAAAUGCCCUAUUGUUAAUAGAGCAAGAGCUGAGUGAUUUUAAGUAACACCCUUUAGACUCUAUAACCUCUAACUCCUCUUGAAUGGUUCAUGUAAAUGGUGCUAUACAGCAAGUUUCUUUUACCCCUUUCAGAGAAAAAUGAGUUUUGAAGAAGUAAAAGAAAUUUGAAAAAAGGUUCAGAACUGAAAGACUUCCAAAAUAAAGGAAGUUUCCCUCAAAUUCUUCUGUUAACAAGAUUUGCAUUUGCAAGCUUUCUGUUUUCAUAUUGCAUAAGUUAAUUGAGGAAACAAGCAAUAACAACUUAUAAAGAUGUGAAUACUUCUUUUCAAGGCUGAACUUUAAAACUAUGUUAAGGAGAGGAAAUAAGUUUUUAAAAGUAUAGAGGGAUUUAUCUAUGGGAAAUGAGAAUUCACCAGGAAGGAGAUUUUACCAACCUUGAUUUUAUGAUGUAUUUGCUAUCAUGAUGUGGAAGAACAUUUAUCAUGAAAUCAACUGAGGAAUUAGGUGUUUCUUUAAAAAAUGUAGAAAUAGUAAUCUCUGAUUAAGAAUUGACUUGGGCAUCUCAAAUUAAAUUCUAGGGCUGCCCCCUCAAAAAAGGAACUCUUAAAAUAGGGAGCAAGGAAUCUAAGAAGAGAAUUCAAUUCUUCAUCUGAACUUCAGAAAGAUAUAAUGGAACUCAUCUAGAAUUUGCUCUUCCUUCCCACUGCUGGAAAUACAUUACUUAUCCAGGGACUGUUAAUUGUUGAAGGGUUAAAAAGGAAAAUGAUUUCAGCCUCAGGCAGUAUUUCUGUAAGUGUGGCUUAUAAAUUAGCUAUAUCACAAACACUUAAGGUACAUUUUAAUAUGUGGAUUAUUAGGCCCAACUCCAGAUCCAAUGAAUCAGAAUCUCUGAGGGAUAGGGUUUAGAAUUUUGCAUACUAACAACCUCACACAUGAUUCUUAAACUCUCCAAAGUUUGGGAAGCAUUAGUGUAAAGAGACAGGCUGGUUUCUUGAAUUAAUUUUGCCCAGAUUCAGGCAAUGACCUUGUGAUAAGAGCAAAAUUAUAUUGUAGCUGUAAGGCUAGUUUGUCAGUUCUUGAUACAACAGUUUCUAUCCCCAGCCCUCUGGGAACAUGUAGUCUCAGUAAAUUAAAUGAACAAACUCUAGUAUUACUCUCAUACACUGUAAUUGGCGUUACUUUAGGAUUUUUUUCUUCCUUCUUAAAAAUUGGCAAUUUCUUUAAUAAAGAUUCUGGCUUUUAUCAGUGGAUUGAUUUUAUAUUCAAUAGUUUCUUCUAUUUGAUGUCUCUGUAUUAAUCAUUUAUAGUCCAUUGGGCUUCCUCUUUAUAGCAGAUAAAUCAUAUUUCAGUUAAAAUUCAAUAAACUGAUAAGAAUUGUGUAUCUAAAUAAUAAAUAUUAUUAGUAAACAAUGUAAGGGUAAUUUAUUUUUAUGUUAAGAGUUGUACUGCCUAUAUAAAAAUAUCUAAUUUAAGAUUUGUUAAAAAAAAAAAAUUUGGAGUUCCUGUGGCUCAGUGGGUUAAGAACCCAACUGGUAUCCGUGAGGAUGCAGGUUCAAUCCCAGGCCUCACUCAGUGGGUUAAGGAUUCAGUGUUGCUGUGGUGUAGGUCGUAGGUGCAGUUCAGAUCCCACAUUGCUGUGGCUAUGGCUGGCAGCUUUAGCUCUAAUUUAACCCCUAGCCUGGGAACUUACAUAUGCCACAGGAGUGGCCCUAAAAAGAAAAAAAAAACAUUGUUAAGCCUCAAAUGGGUAAAUAUAAAUAUAAUACAAAUAUAUGCCAUGCCACAUAGUUAUGUAUAUUUUUACAUAUUUAUAUAUAUUUAGAUAAUCUUUAAGGAGAGAAAAUGAAAUGCUUGUAUGGUGUACCACACAUAUUUCUCAAUGUGUAAUAAUCUGCAGACUCUAUAUCAAAAUCUUGUUUGCUUUAUAUGUUUCAGGAUCAUAGUCUUUGUUACUGCAUUUAAAGAUCAUCACAUUAGAAAAUCUUAUUAAAAUGAAUUUUAUUUUGGAAACACUGAAAAGAGGAAAAGAUCUUUUUGUAGGCUAGUGUCAUCCUCAAACUUUAAUGUAUCUAAGAAUAAGGUAUGGGAUAUGUAAAAGUGGCAUAUUCUUGUGUACCUUCCAAAUCAGAAAAUCAGGAGUCAGAACCAGGAAUCUGUAGUGUUAGAAGCCCCCCCAGAUGAAUUUAUGAAGUUAAGAAGUCCUUUGAGAUAUCUCAAUUACAGAGAGACUACAGUGUAUGUUAAAAAUGAAAGCAUCAGUAAUUAUCUUUUUUAUUUCACAACAUUCCAUGUUUUGUAUUGCGGCAUUGACUACCCACCCCUCUCCUAUCUCACCAUACCCCAAAAAGAGUCUAAAUCAUCUUUUCUUCCUGGACCUUUGCCUUUAGUGAGUAUGCCAUGCCUAGGGACCAGCUUGGGGAUCCAUGGGACUGAAAACAUGACUUCUCUGAAAGUACUGAAAUUGCCUGAUUUAUAAAACUGACUCCUUUGGACUCAUAUUUUGACAGUUAAGAAAUAACACAACAUGAGAAUCAAAGGAAUCUUGAAUAAGUAAACAAUUACAUAACACAUAGAGACAAUGGCAAUAUGAAAAUGGCUUUGAAAUAACUAAAAAUGAUUAAAUGUAAUUAAAUUUAAAAACAAAACAUCCAGGGAAAUGCUAUUUAGAGAUGCAUUUCCCUUAACUGGAGACAGAUGAAAUUGAAAGGUUUGGUUUAGCUAUAACCAAGAUUUUCUACUUGGGAAUUACUGCCAAGGAAUCUCCUUUACUAAUGGUACUUACAAUUGUAGUUGAAUAUUUUUCUGCUUAAAAUCAGGGGUUCGUAUUUGUUACCCAGAUCUAAUUCAGCCCUAAGAGUGUGUAAUAAAUAUUAAGAAGAAAAUCUCGGAGUUCCUGUCGUGGUUCAGCGGUUAGUGAGCCCAACCAGCAUCCAUGAGGACACGGGUUUGAUCCCUGGCCUCAAUGGGUUAACCAUCUGGCAUUGCCUUGAGCUGUGGUGUAGGUCACAGAUAAGGCUCGGAUCCAGCGUUGCUAUGACUCUGGCGUAGGCUGGUGGCUGCA
rnacentral:lncRNA from 1 species